UGAUUCCUAGUGAAGAAAUAUCGCUUGCCAGGUUCCAACUUCCAAUCCUCUCUCUCGGAAACUUGUACGUAUCCGACAUUUCUCAAUCGCCUCUUUGCCUCAUCAACGGCGUGAAAAGCUGUAGGAGAAACGUUUAAGAAGUGGAUGAGAUCGGAGACAACAGAGCUUCCAUCACUGUUAGUUUCUUGCUUCGCCAUUUUUUCCAAAAAAAAAAAUAAAAAAAAAUAAAAAAUU
rnacentral:misc_RNA from 1 species